rnacentral:rRNA from 1 species
GGACGAACGCUGGCGGCGCGCCUAACACAUGCAAGUCGAACGAGCGAGAGAGAGCUUGCUUUCUCGAGCGAGUGGCGAACGGGUGAGUAACGCGUGAGGAACCUGCCUCAAAGAGGGGGACAACAGUUGGAAACGACUGCUAAUACCGCAUAAGCCCACGGGUCGGCAUCGACCAGAGGGAAAAGGAGUAAUCCGCUUUGAGAUGGCCUCGCGUCCGAUUAGCUAGUUGGUGAGGUAACGGCCCACCAAGGCGACGAUCGGUAGCCGGACUGAGAGGUUGAACGGCCACAUUGGGACUGAGACACGGCCCAGACUCCUACGGGAGGCAGCAGUGGGGAAUAUUGCACAAUGGGGGAAACCCUGAUGCAGCGACGCCGCGUGGAGGAAGAAGGUCUUCGGAUUGUAAACUCCUGUUGUUGAGGAAGAUAAUGACGGUACUCAACAAGGAAGUGACGGCUAACUACGUGCCAGCAGCCGCGGUAAAACGUAGGUCACAAGCGUUGUCCGGAAUUACUGGGUGUAAAGGGAGCGCAGGCGGGAAGACAAGUUGGAAGUGAAAUCCAUGGGCUCAACCCAUGAACUGCUUUCAAAACUGUCUUUCUUGAGUAGUGCAGAGGUAGGCGGAAUUCCCGGUGUAGCGGUGGAAUGCGUAGAUAUCGGGAGGAACACCAGUGGCGAAGGCGGCCUACUGGGCACCAACUGACGCUGAGGCUCGAAAGUGUGGGUAGCAAACAGGAUUAGAUACCCUGGUAGUCCACACCGUAAACGAUGAUUACUAGGUGUUGGAGGAUUGACCCCUUCAGUGCCGCAGUUAACACAAUAAGUAAUCCACCUGGGGAGUACGACCGCAAGGUUGAAACUCAAAGGAAUUGACGGGGGCCCGCACAAGCAGUGGAGUAUGUGGUUUAAUUCGACGCAACGCGAAGAACCUUACCAAGUCUUGACAUCCUGCGACGGUUCUGGAAACAGAACUUUCCUUCGGGACGCAGAGACAGGUGGUGCAUGGUUGUCGUCAGCUCGUGUCGUGAGAUGUUGGGUUAAGUCCCGCAACGAGCGCAACCCUUAUGGUCAGUUACUACGCAAGAGGACUCUGGCCAGACUGCCGUUGACAAAACGGAGGAAGGUGGGGAUGACGUCAAAUCAUCAUGCCCUUUAUGACUUGGGCUACACACGUACUACAAUGGCGUUAAACAAAGAGAAGCAAGACCGCGAGGUGGAGCAAAACUCAGAAACAACGUCCCAGUUCGGACUGCAGGCUGCAACUCGCCUGCACGAAGUCGGAAUUGCUAGUAAUCGUGGAUCAGCAUGCCACGGUGAAUACGUUCCCGGGCCU